AAGCUCUUGCUGCCAGACUUGCCGUAGUUGCUCAGCCGUUCUUCUGAGCGGUGUAUUCUUCUGUGGCAGGCCAGCGUCAGUUUCGACGGCCGGAUAAAGGCCCAGGGAAUGUGGCUCCUCUUCGGGGGAGUGUUAUAGCCCAGGGCAGAAUGCGGCCAGUCGAGACUGAGGAACGCGUUCGCAAGGACGCUGGCGUAAUGGCAGCAAGCGA
rnacentral:rRNA from 1 species